AUCGGUGGCCGCACAGCCGUCUACACGGAAGAGCAACCGUCGCUUCGGCGCAAGCGCUCUACGCGCGGGGAAGUGACGGCACGCUUCCGCCAGCCCCGCGGUAGAGUGAGGGGGAAGGGACAAUCUUGGUACGGACGGCGACACGAGCGCGAGGAGGUGCUGCGGAGACUGAAGAACGGUGGCUGAGGCGAAAGCAGAGACUCCCUGGUGGCAUGCAGUGCUGGAGACAGACAGAUCAUUCUGUCAUAGAAUGUUGGGAAAAUACCUAGCCUGGAGUCAAAGACAGAAGAGCUUUCUAGGAGCAGACAGAGCCAAGCUGGCAGCCUGGAAAGCCCUUGCCGAGAAGGUAUUCAUGGGACUGAGACGUGUUCCCUUUCUGCUUUUACCCAAAGCUUUCCUUAUCUUAGGAAGUGGGGAAUUUGGCUGAAACCCAGUGCAUCCAUCUGGUUAAAAUAAACGUCUUGGGUGGUCUAAGAUGGAAAAGAACUUAAUGAAGAGUCAGAUUUGGAAGCGGGAGAGAUAGAUUUGGAAGUAGAAAUGUUGCCUUUGUGAAUUUGGGGCUUUUUAGCACCAGUUAAACAUAUGAUGUCAGUCUUGGGCCUGAGGGUGUCCCUUCCAGUUGAAUGCCCCUGUAACACUGCCAGCUGCCUAUAGCAGGGUUUGGAGGAAGAUGUGCUCUGAGGGGUAAGAUUGUGGCCUCAGACAGAGAUAGAUGGAAUCACAGAAAUCAGGAGCCAUGUGGGGGAAAACCAAGGAGCUGUAGAAAGAGCACUGGUUGUGAAGUAGAGGUCUGAGUUUGUAUGCUGGUCCUCUUCUUUUUUUUUUUUUUUUUUUUGUGGUACGUGGGCCUCUCACUGUUGUGGCCUCUCCCGUUGCGGAGCACAGGCUCCAGACGCUCAGGCUCAGCAGCCAUGGCUCACGGGCCCAGCUGCUCCGCGGCAUGUGGGAUCUUCCCGGACCGGGGCACGAACCCGUGUCCCCUGCAUCGGCAGGCGGACUCUCAACCACCGCACCACCAGGGAAGCCCCGGCCCUCUUCUUUUUGCUCACAAGAAAUAUUUUACUAGCAUUAUUGAGCCCUUACCAGGUCCCAACUUUACUAAAUGUUUUUCAUACGUUUGUCUCCAAAAGCUGGCUGGCUCUCAGUCACUAUACUGAACUCCUCUCCUUUUACAGUAGUCCCUCCUUUAU